UCUUAAGGAUAAGCAAAGAAAUCAGAUUUUUGAGAUGGAAACUACUCUUGGUGAAGAUGCUGUGAA
rnacentral:pre_miRNA from 1 species